rnacentral:lncRNA from 1 species
UUGAAAGUGAAUCACAUUAAUUUUACUUUCGAGUGUUGCAUGUCACCACUAAACAUUAUCAAAUGCUCCUUGAUUAAUUAUGGUGGUUUCCUUCACACACUAAAAUUUCGGGAUUAGGAGUCACUUUGAGAAAGUCACUACCAUCUUCUGAAAACCUCCCAGUUUGUGAUUUUUCAAGAUUUUGUAAUCUGAUAUCUGGAAUUAAAAUUUUAAAUUGAUGAAGAUGUGAACAGUUAAUAGAUCAUGGGGACUUUGCGGAGGAAAACUAAGGGACAACAAUGAUUAUUGAGAAGCCGCCAAUAGAAAUUUCAACUCCAGAUAUCAUAUUAUAAAAUUUUGGUGACUUCAGAGGUUAGUAAGAUGCAGUAAUCUUCAAAGGUUAAGUAUAUGCUCAGUUGAAAAUGAAAACAGUUCAAAUAUUCCUAACUUGACAAAGAUUUUGUCCAAAAGCUCCGUGCUCUUUUCUUCUGACUUCUUGUAGUAAACAUCGAAAGAUUGCAGGACCAUUAAGAAUUCAUUGUUUUCCUUGAUCACUUUUCAUUAAAUUCACGUAAAAUGAGUUUUGUAUAAUGUAUUUGAAGUUUUGAUGAUAACAAAAUACUCCCUCCAUCCCGAAUUAGCUGAGCCAUUUUUUCUUUUCACACAUAUUAAGACAAAUGUAUAAAUGAAGGAGAGAGAAUAGUGGUUUUAAGUGAUCUUCACUAUCAUAUAUAAAUGCAAAGUGGAAUAUAUUGAAUUGAAAGUUGUGAAAGUAGUAUUAAUUAGAGUUAUAAAAGGAAAAAAGUAAUUAAUAUUGUAUUGAGUUAUAAAGAAUAAUUGGAUGGAUAUGUUAAUGUAUGUUUAAAUGUGUAGGAUUGUAGACUAAAAUUUUAAGUAUUAAAAUCAAGUUUGAUUCUGGAAGAACAUAUACGAGAGCAUUUGAAUAUUGAGGAAAACUGAAGUUCUCGACCAGACUCUAAAGACUCAAGUCUCUAAAGGAUAUCAGACUCUGAAGGUCAGAAGUAUCUGGAAAUUACCUGACUCUGAAGAAUGAAGACUCUAAAGAACACGUCAAACUUAUCGUCUUCUGAAGAUGUCACUAUCAGACUGAGACGGUACAUUUUUUUUUCUUCUGACCACGUGCAGGAACAAACAAAGAACUUCAAAGACAAAUGAAAUGAAAUGGAUAAUUCAUUUUGAAGCAAAGAAAUUUCAAAUAUCUUUUCAACGACAUUAACCAAAUCAAGAAACAUUCUAAUGUCUAUGAUCAAGCUUCUCAAAGACCCUAAAACACGUGAUGGCACCUCUCCAACGCCUCCAAUAUCCUUCACUAUAUAAGGAGUCGAAGACUUAAAUAAAUUAACAAGACUGCUAAAAGUGCCCUUACUAUGUCAAAAUUAAUAGCGCAUUUGAACUUAGAAUUUCUUACAAAUUUUAAAUCUAAGAAAUUCGUAAGUCUUAAGAGUUUUAAUCUGUUUUGUAUUUGUUUACCUCUCUGAUUGUAUAUUAAGUGUAAAAUCAAACAAUCUUUUAUUUGAUUAAGUUGGAUUUUGCGAGAAGUCUUUUUUCAGUUGUGAUUGAGCAUUAAAGUCUCUUGCUUGUGUGCUUAAGCAUUUGUAAUUUUUAGUGAUUAUAGUGAAAAUCCCUUGGAAAUGCAAGGAGACUAGAUUACUCUCGGUUUAUGACAUGAACUAGUACAAAUUGCUCUCUCUCUCUCUCUCUCUCUCUCUCUCUCUCUCUCUCUCUCUCUCUCUCUCUCUCUCUCUCUCUCUCUCUCUCUCUCUCUCUCUCUCUCUCUCUCUCUCUCUCUCUGUGUGUGUGUGUGUGUGUGUGUGUGUCUGUUUUGGUCUUAUAACCUCUGCAUUCAGAACUCUACAUCAGACUUUAAACACUACAUUCAGACUCUGAUUAGUAAGAACACUUAGAAAAGGUAAACACAAUUCAACUCUACAUCAGACUUUAAACACUACAUUCAGCUUCUCAAACUCAUACUCGGUGAUUGAGGCAAGGUCACUAGUCCAAUAUAUAGAAAACUUACGCUCACCUUCAAAUACUAGCGUAGCUUCAAGACAAUCCCCCCAUCUCCCUCUCUUGAACUCAAAAGUAUUUCUCCUUACAGUUCUUAUAGUUUGAUAUAUAAGUUGGAAAUUGGCUCCUAUUGAGAUGGGUGCUGGUAGAGACCUAUAAUCUUUUAUCAAGGCCCUUGUUUCAUAUAAGGAAAAAAGCAUGCCCAUUGAGGGCUGAAACCAAUGUUUUAAAAAUCGAACCGGACCGAUUCAACCAGUUGACCCGGGAACUGGACCAAACACCGGUCCGGACAACACUUUAAAACCAGAAGUCUAUAGAACUAGAAAGGAACCAAGAAAACCGAUAUAAACUGGGAAAAAUGGAAAAACCGAUGAGUUGGUUUUGGUGAACCGUCCAGAUUCACUUUUCUUCUAAAUUUCUUUUCCAUAAAAAAUUCUUCUUUCCCUUUUGAUUUGUGGAUAUUGAAAUUUUAAGAGUUUCUAAUUUUUUUUGUAUGAUAAGACUUUUAUUUUUGUGUACCUAUAUGCUAGAUGUUGAAGAAUCUGGAUCUGCUUGUUUAUUUUUGAAGGAGUUCUUGGUGUUGCACUAACAAAAAUAAUUGGGUUGUAUAAUAUUAUAAAUAAGAAAAAAGAAGAAACAUCAUCACAUAAAGCAUAAGAAUAAGAAAUAAUAAGAAUAUGUGCUAUGAAAGAAGAAGAAUAAUGGAAAACAGCAUCCUAUGUGUGUAAUGCAUCGUGUGAAAAAAAGAUGUCAUUUAGGGUUACAAAAGGAUUGUUGAAUACAAUUAUAUUGGCUAUAAAAGAUUAAUUCAAUUGGGCUAUAAAAGAUUGGUGAAAAAAAGUAUUUUGGAUCUAUAAAGUGUUGGAACAAAAUAAUAUGGACUGUAAUCUAUAAUAAAAAAUUAAAUUUAUUUAUCAAUUAUUAAUAAUCUGGUUUAAUAACGGUUUAACCGGUUGAACCGGUUGAACCUUGACCCGAACAUCACAACGGUUUAACCUCUGGUCCAAUUUUAUAAACAUUGGCGAAACCCCAAGCUUUCGCACGAGAUCUCGAAACCGCACAUGAACGCACAACAGUUUGGAUGAAGUUGUGAUGAAGCGACGUUAAGAGCCUUAAGGAAAUCACACUCAAAGUUAGUAAAAGGAAACUUAAACCCUAUAUCCUCAAAAACAAACGAAUACAUAUGAAGCAUCUCCAUCUUCACUCCCUAAGGACAUUGGAGGCACACCUUCUCGCCAAGCCUACAAGGUUCCACAAUAAUAUCUGCCUCCCAAAUAGUAUACGAGAUAUCCACUUUACUCCUAAAAAAUGACACCCUCUUGUUGGUUACGAAAAGAGAGUCCAAGCAGACAACAACCACAGCAAAGACAUGGGAUAACAAAUUUCCCUCUUACCUACUCCUGGGGAACGAGAAAUUAAACCACAAUCAAUAUCCUAGCUAGAACUAUCAUCAUUACUGUCAGAAUCACUCGAAAUCUCUCCCAAUAGUAAAUGUCUAUAAUAACCCAUUUCGAAGACAACCUGUUUGUAACUCCAAUCCAGAUGUUUUGUAAUUUUGAUACAAGAAUUUCACAGUUUACUCUUCUUCUCAAAUGUAUCGGGAUUGACAACCCUUCCAGACUCAUCCCCCCCCCCCCCCCCCCCCCCAAAGAAAUUUCUUAACAGAGAAGGUUAAGACACUUGAAGAUAUGAAAAAAGGGUAAAAAGCCAAAAAGCAUAAAGAAACGAAAGAACAAUGGGAAAUGGAGGAGAAUCUCUCUUAUAAGGACAUAAAAACAACAAUAAAGCUACCUCGGGUCACCAAAUGACUAUAAGUAGUGAUUGGGACAAGUGUCAAAGAGAGGUAAUGUCUACGAAGGUAAAGGUGCACAACUAAAAAAAUGAACCCUCAUAGAUUGUGAGUCAUCAGAUCAAUCUUGCAUACCACACCAAAACCUCAAGGGGGGCAUAUCACACUCAGCCACUUUACCCUUACAAAGGACUCGUGCUUGGGGGGUUGUGGAUCCUCAUAUCUCAUUCAACCACUUUGCUCUUAACUGGGACUCGUACUUCUCUAAGUCAUGUUUUUAGUUCUGAUACAUCAAGCUUUGAGCACAAAGGAAAGCAUUUUGAUACUCAAGAGAAACACUGGAACUUUUGAAUAUAAGAUAACAUGAAGAAAGGUUAACAAAAUAGUCAAAGCUAUAAUCAGAAAAUGCAUCAAACCUUGAAGGCUCUGAUGAGAACAAGCUCUAAUGGACUCAUACUCUGAAGAAAGCAAGUUAUGAAAGACAUGUCGGCAGAUUGGGUGACUCUAACCUGUUUUGUCUUCUUCUGAAGGAACGUCGCUUUCAAAGUUUUGAUAGGUCUAUUUGUUUUCUUCUGACCACAUGCAGAAACAAAUAAAGAAAUUCAAUGAUAUAUAGAAUGUAAGAGAUCAAUCGUUAAUAAGCAACUGAUUUCUCUAGUACUACUCCAUGACAUUAUCCAAUUAGAGGCAAAGUUUUCAAAAUUGAUUUAAAGUUUCUCAAGGACAAUUUUGAUGCGUUGCACCAAAUGAUUUCUCAUUUCUCUCUUAUAUAAGGACCUAAGCAGUUUGAAGAAAUUAAGAGAUGAAAAUAUUUCACAAGUGUCAAAACUCUGUCGAAUUCAAAAGCGUUCAAUCACUUAAUUCUUACAAACUUUACAUCUUAGAAUUGCUUAGUGUAACAAGUUACUUGAACCUCAAGUUUUGUUUGCCACUCUCUUAGUAAAAAGUGUAAACAGAAUCUCAUUUAUUUGUUAAACUUUGAUGGUAUAAGUCCUCUUGUGUGAGGUAAUAAAGUCUCAACUUGCGUGUUUGAUAAAUUAUAAUCUUGUGUGAUUAUAGUGAAAAAUCAUUUGGAAGUGCAAGAGGACUGGACUAACCUCGGAUUAUUGAGUGAACUAGGAUAAUUGCUUGUGUUGUUUCUCUUCUCUCACCCAAUGACCAUCUGUUUGUUUUGUUUAAACACUUAAAAAGAUUUUCAAAAAAAGCCAACAUAAUCUCCCCUGCGUUUUUCUCACCUUCUAGGAUAAGAACAAGUGCCUAAAGUAAGAGCACAACCAAAGGUGCAAGUGGCUGCCCUUAUCUCGUAAACCAAAGUCGAACUGCUAAAUCCAUGGCCUUCAAGCGAGACAUAAGGUUACACAUAAGCUUGACGUGCCCGUCACUAUAGGAACGAACCGGCAAAAAGCUCAAUGAUAGACUCUUAUGUUGUUACAAACCAAAGGGGACCUAGAAACACUAUAUACAGAACCUCUGAGAUCAUUCCCGACCCAUGACUUAAUGGGUAGCAUUUAGGUGACAUAGCUUUUGGUGACAUUGUCCUUAUCUCUAUUAAUUAAUUAUUCUAAAAUGCAUUAAUGUCAUCAAAAAACUAUGUCAUCCAAGUGAAAUCCUGAUUACAAAAACCUAAGAGUUUCGUCUUAUUCACAGACUUAGUUUUAUAUUGUAUUAUCACUACAACUAUGAAUAAAAUGAACUAGUUGGGUGUUUGUAUAAUAAUGAUAAUGAUAAUAAUAAUAAUAAUAAUAAGAAUGGAUUUUUUUAAAUGCAAUAACAAUAAGGGACCGUGGGUCAUAAGUUAACACGGUUUCCUCCAACAACAAAAAAAAAUUAUGCUCACACGGUAACAACGCGGAUGAAACUAAGGAACAAGCUUUAAAUCAACAAAACAAAAACAAAAAAGAAGCAAGGAAGAUGCAAAGAAACUUACAUGGAAUGGAAAUAGCAAGGAAUGUUCGUGAAAAAAUCUAUAUAAGCAUGUUUUGUGUCCUCUCCACUCAUGAUUCAACAAAAAAAUUUCAUUUCUACUUUCACAAACAAUAACAUAGAUAGGCCAGACAGAGAAGUAUAAAAUCUUU